rnacentral:rRNA from 1 species
AGACGUCUACAUUAGAUACCCCUGUAGUCCCAGCCGUAAACAAUGUGCGUUAGGUGUGUCGGUAACCACGUGUUACUGAUGCGCCGAAGAGAAAUCGUGAAACGCACCACCUGGGAAGUACGGUCGCAAGGCUGAAACUUAAAGGAAUUGGCGGGGGAGCACCACAACAGGUGGAGCCUGCGGUUUAAUUGGAUUCAACGCCGGACAUCUCACCGGAUAAGACAGCUGAAUGAUUGUCAAUCUGAAGGUUUUACAUGACUAGCUG